UUUCCGUAGGUGAACCUGCGGAAGGAUCAUUAAUGAGUUGUCAUGGGGUUCGAUGCUGGCAGCCAAUUUUUGGAUGCAUGUGCUUGCCCUAACAAUCAUCUUCCAAACACCUGUGCACAUUUUUGAGGGAGUCUUGAGUUGGUUGCCGCUCUUGGGUGAUUUUCGCACAUUCCCUUAAAUCAUUAUACGCUAUUAACGAUGUUGAACGUGCUCUGUGCCGCAAGGCUAUUAAUACAAUACAACUUUUAACAACGGAUCUCUUGGCUCUC
rnacentral:misc_RNA from 1 species